CUCUGUGUUUGAAAGUGAUUGUGGGCUGCCCGUGUCCUGGUUAUUGAUAAUGCAGGGAGAGGAAUUGCCGAGAGCAUUUCCCUGUGUUUGGAGGGUCCACUCCUGUCCCUUCUGAACCCUGGAACUUUCCCACA